AGCAGCCGCGGUAAUUCCAGCUCCAAUAGCGUAUAUUUAAGUUGUUGCAGUUAAAAAGCCGUAGUUGGACCUUGGGUUGGGUCGAUCGGUCCGCCUCUGGUGUGCACCGGUCGGCUCGCCCUUCUGCCGGCGAUGCGCUCCUGGUCUUAAUUGGCCGGGGAAACCAGGACUUUUACUUGAAAAAAUUAGAGUGUUCAAAGCAGGCAUUUGCUCGAAUACAUUAGCAUGGAAUAAU
rnacentral:rRNA from 1 species